GGAGGGUGCGCCCGGCCCUGCGUCUCCGCCCUAGAGGACAGGGCUCUCCGGCGCCCCUCGU
rnacentral:miRNA from 1 species